rnacentral:rRNA from 1 species
AUUGAACGCUGGCGGCAGGCCUAACACAUGCAAGUCGAGCGGCAGCGGGAAAGUAGCUUGCUACUUUUGCCGGCGAGCGGCGGACGGGUGAGUAAUGCCUGGGAAAUUGCCCAGUCGAGGGGGAUAACAGUUGGAAACGACUGCUAAUACCGCAUACGCCCUACGGGGGAAAGCAGGGGACCUUCGGGCCUUGCGCGAUUGGAUAUGCCCAGGUGGGAUUAGCUAGUUGGUGAGGUAAUGGCUCACCAAGGCAACGAUCCCUAGCUGGUCUGAGAGGAUGAUCAGCCACACUGGAACUGAGACACGGUCCAGACUCCUACGGGAGGCAGCAGUGGGGAAUAUUGCACAAUGGGGGAAACCCUGAUGCAGCCAUGCCGCGUGUGUGAAGAAGGCCUUCGGGUUGUAAAGCACUUUCAGCGAGGAGGAAAGGUUGUUGGCUAAUACCCAGCAACUGUGACGUUACUCGCAGAAGAAGCACCGGCUAACUCCGUGCCAGCCGCCGCAGUAACAC